GUGCUAGGCCCUGGGCAGACGAGACAGAUCAGUCAUGGUUCCUGCCCUCCAGGAGCUCACAGUCUAAUGAGGGAGAAGA
rnacentral:miRNA from 1 species